rnacentral:lncRNA from 1 species
AUUCGGCUUACUACCGUAUGUCGGAAGACACAGAACCCGACACAAGAGCAUGGGGACCCGACUUACCAUCGUUUCCCCGACACUGCGCCGGAUGACAUUGGACAAAUGCAUCUAUGAAAGCCCGACUACCGGACCUUUACCAGGUUCGGUCGGUUCCCGACUCAACAGACGUGCCCGACUAACGACCUCGACUAUUGGAAGCCGACCUAAAGUCGGAACGCACUCUGCUUUCGGGGCUGCACAAGUUGCCGAAGUCCUA